UUUAAAAGGACAGAGAGUAUACCAAAGGGGGAAAGAUUCCAUGAGCCAAAUAUGUCAAAAUCAAUCCAACACACACUUCAAAGAUUACUUGGCAAUCCAGAAAGAUUACUGGCAAUCCAGAAAGAUGAUCAUAACUUUCCAUUUCUAAAGCCUAUUAAACCAACGGUGGAAAUCCUCCCACUUUCCAUUUAUAAAAGCUGAAAAGUAAAAGACAUAAUAAUAAUUUAAAAAUAUCUCAUGUCAUUUUUCUUACUUUGAAGUUUGAACGCUAAAAAUGAGGUUAAGCAUUAUUGAAAUCC
rnacentral:lncRNA from 1 species